rnacentral:rRNA from 1 species
UAAUCGGAAUGAGUACACUCUAAACCCUUUAACGAGGAUCAAUUGGAGGGCAAGUCUGGUGCCAGCAGCCGCGGUAAUUCCAGCUCCAAUAGCGUAUAUUAAAGUUGUUGCGGUUAAAAAGCUCGUAGUCGAAUUUGUGUCCCGCGCCGCCGGUUCAUCGCUCGCGGUGUUAACUGGCGUGUCCGCGGGACGUCCUGCCGGUGGGCUUAGCCUUCGCGGGCGGCCCAAUCUCAAUCCCACCGCGGUGCUCUUCACUGAGUGUCGAGGUGGGCCGGCACGUUUACUUUGAACAAAUUAGAGUGCUUAAAGCAGGCUAAAACAUCGCCUGAAUACUGUGUGCAUGGAAUAAUGGAAUAGGACCUCGGUUCUAUUUUGUUGGUUUUCGGAACCCCGAGGUAAUGAUUAAUAGGAACGGAUGGGGGCAUUCGUAUUGCGACGUUAGAGGUGAAAUUCUUGGAUCGUCGCAAGACGGACAGAAGCGAAAGCAUUUGCCAAAAACGUUUUCAUUGAUCAAGAACGAAAGUUAGAGGUUCGAAGGCGAUCAGAUACCGCCCUAGUUCUAACCAUAAACGAUGCCAGCUAGCGAUCCGCCGACGUUCCUCCGAUGACUCGGCGGGCAGCUUCCGGGAAACCAAAGCUUUUGGGUUCUGGGGGAAGUAUGGUUGCAAAGCUGAAACUUAAAGGAAUUGACGGAAGGGCACCACCAGGAGUGGAGCCUGCGGCUUAAUUUGACUCAACACGGGAAACCUCACCAGGCCCGGACACCGGAAGGAUUGACAGAUUGAGAGC